rnacentral:rRNA from 1 species
AUUGAACGCUGGCGGCAUGCCUUACACAUGCAAGUCGAACGGUAACGGGCCUUCUGGUGCCGCCGAGUGGCGAACGGGUGAGUAAUACAUCGGAACGUGCCCGAUCGUGGGGGAUAACGAGGCGAAAGCUUUGCUAAUACCGCAUACGAUCUACGGAUGAAAGCCGGGGACCGCAAGGCCUUGCGCGGACGGAGCGGCCGAUGGCAGAUUAGGUAGUUGGUGGGAUAAAAGCUUACCAAGCCGACGAUCUGUAGCUGGUCUGAGAGGAUGAUCAGCCACACUGGGACUGAGACACGGCCCAGACUCCUACGGGAGGCAGCAGUGGGGAAUUUUGGACAAUGGGCGCAAGCCUGAUCCAGCCAUGCCGCGUGCAGGAUGAAGGCCUUCGGGUUGUAAACUGCUUUUGUACGGAACGAAAAGCCUUCUUUUAAUACAGGAGGGUCAUGACGGUACCGUAAGAAUAAGCACCGGCUAACUACGUG